rnacentral:rRNA from 1 species
UACGGAGGAUGCAAGCGUUAUCCGGAAUGAUUGGGCGUAAAGCGUCCGCAGGUGGCUGUGUAAGUCUGCUGUCAAAGAGCGAAGCUCAACUUCGUAAAGGCAGUGGAAACUACAUAGCUAGAGUAAGGUAGGGGUAGAGGGAAUUCCUGGUGUAGCGGUGAAAUGCGUAGAGAUCAGGAAGAACACCGGUGGCGAAAGCGCUCUGCUGGACCUUAACUGACACUGAGGGACGAAAGCUAGGGGAGCGAAUGGG